rnacentral:rRNA from 1 species
UGGGGAAUUUUGGACAAUGGGGGAAACCCUGAUCCAGCCAUCCCGCGUGUGCGAUGAAGGCCUUCGGGUUGUAAAGCACUUUUGGCAGGAAAGAAACGUCGCGGGUUAAUACCCCGCGAAACUGACGGUACCUGCAGAAUAAGCACCGGCUAACUACGUGCCAGCAGCCGCGGUAAUACGUAGGGUGCAAGCGUUAAUCGGAAUUACUGGGCGUAAAGCGUGCGCAGGCGGUUCGGAAAGAAAGAUGUGAAAUCCCCAGAGCUUAACUUUGGAACUGCAUUUUUAACUACCGGGCUAGAGUGUGUCAGAGGGAGGUGGAAUUCCGCGUGUAGCAGUGAAAUGCGUAGAUAUGCGGAGGAACACCGAUGGCGAAGGCAGCCUCCUGGGAUAACACUGACGCUCAUGCACGAAAGCGUGGGGAGCAAACAGGAUUAGAUACCCUGGUAGUCCACGCCCUAAACGAUGUCAACUAGUUGUUGGGGAUUCAUUUCCUUAGUAACGUAGCUAACGCGUGAAGUUGACCGCCUGGGGAGUACGGUCGCAAGAUUAAAACUC